rnacentral:sRNA from 1 species
AGAUUUAUUUCCUAAAUCGUGGUGCACCCAGCAAAGCAACAAAGCUGUCUGGCUCCCAUUCUUGUCCACUGGAAUGAGCUCAAGUCCCUCGAGCUAUCGGCAGGACCCUCAUCCCCCGUUACUUUAGCACUGUGUUUGAAGGAGGGGUGACCGACCUGUAUUACAUUCUCAAACACUCGAAAGAGUCAUACCACAACUCAUCCAUCACGGUGGACUGCGACCAGUGUACCAUGGUCACCCAGCACGGGAAGCCCAUGUUUACCAAGGUAUGUACAGAAGGCAGACUGAUCUUGGAGUUCACCUUUGAUGAUCUCAUGAGAAUAAAAACAUGGCACUUUACCAUUAGACAAUACCGAGAGUUAGUCCCGAGAAGCAUCCUAGCCAUGCAUGCACAAGAUCCUCAGGUCCUGGAUCAGCUGUCCAAAAACAUCACCAGGAUGGGGCUAACAAACUUCACCCUCAACUACCUCAGGUUGUGUGUAAUACUGGAGCCAAUGCAGGAACUGAUGUCAAGACAUAAAACUUACAACCUCAGUCCCCGAGACUGCCUGAAGACCUGCUUGUUUCAGAAGU